GACGAACGCUGGCAGCGUGCUUAACACAUGCAAGUCGAACGGUAAGGCCCUUCGGGGUACACGAGUGGCGAACGGGUGAGUAACACGUGGGUGAUCUGCCCUGCACUUCGGGAUAAGCCUGGGAAACUGGGUCUAAUACCGGAUAGGACUCCGGACUGCAUGGUCUGGGGUGGAAGGCUUUUGCGGUGUGGGAUGGGCCCGCGGCCUAUUAGCUUGUUGGUGGGGUGAUGGCCUACCAAGGCGACGACGGGUAGCCGGCCUGAGAGGGUGACCGGCCACACGAGGACUGAGAUACGGCCCAGACUCCUACGGGAGGCAGCAGUGGGGAAUAGUGCACAAUGGGCGCAAGCCUGAUGCGUCGACGCCGCGUGAGGGAUGACGGCCUUCGGGCUGUAAACCUCUUUCAGCAUCGACGAAGCGAAAGUGACGGUAGGUGCAGAAGAAGGACCGGCCAACUACGUGCCAGCAGCCGCAGUAA
rnacentral:rRNA from 1 species